UUGGAGGGCAAGUCUGGUGCCAGCAGCCGCGGUAAUUCCAGCUCCAAUAGCGUAUAUUAAAGUUGUUGCAGUUAAAAAGCUCGUAGUUGAAUUUCGGGGUUAGUAGGUUGGUCAUGCCUCUGGUAUGUACUGGUCUCACUGAUUCCUCCUUCCUGAUGAACCUUAAUGCCAUUUAUUUGGUGUUUUGGGGAAUUUGGACUGUUACUUUGAAAAAAUUAGAGUGUUUAAAGCAAGCUAACGCUUGAAUACAUUAGCAUGGAAUAAUGAAAUAGGACGUUCGAUCCUAUUUUGUUGGUUUCUAGGAUUGACGUAAUGAUUAAUAGGGAUAGUUGGGGGCAUUAGUAUUCAAUUGUCAGAGGUGAAAUUCUUGGAUUUAUUGAAGACUAACUACUGCGAAAGCAUUUGCCAAGGAUGUUUUCAUUAAUCAAGAACGAAAGUUAGGGGAUCGAAGACGAUCAGAUACCGUCGUAGUCUUAACCAUAAACUAUGCCGACUAGGGAUCGGAUGAUGUUAAUUUUUUAAUGACUCAUUCGGCGCCUUACGGGAAAC
rnacentral:rRNA from 3 species